GAGGCAGCAGCGGGGAAUAUUGCACAAUGGGCGCAAGCCUGAUGCAGCCAUGCCGCGUGUGUGAAGAAGGCCUUCGGGUUGUAAAGCACUUUCAGCGGGGAGGAAGGCGAUAAGGUUAAUAACCUUGGCGAUUGACGUUACCCGCAGAAGAAGCACCGGCUAACUCCGUGCCAGCAGCCGCGGUAAUACGGAGGGUGCAAGCGUUAAUCGGAAUUACUGGGCGUAAAGCGCACGCAG
rnacentral:rRNA from 1 species